GAUCAUGGCUCAGGAUGAACGCUAGCUACAGGCUUAACACAUGCAAGUCGAGGGGAAACGACAUCGAAAGCUUGCUUUUGAUGGGCGUCGACCGGCGCACGGGUGAGUAACGCGUAUCCAACCUGCCCCAUCACUUGGGAAUAAACCUUGCGAAAGUAAGACUAAUGCCCAAUGAUAUCCCACGAAGGCAUCCGAAUGGGAUUAAAGAUUUAUCGGUGAUGGAUGGGGAGUGCGU
rnacentral:rRNA from 1 species